rnacentral:rRNA from 1 species
GACGAACCGUGCGAACGUUAUUCGGAAUCACUGGGCUUAAAGCGCGUGUAGGCGGCCCGGCACGUCCGUCGCUGAAAUCCCCCGGCUCAACCGGGGAAGGGGCGUGGAUACGGCCGGGCUGGAGGGGGGUAGGGGGAGCCGGAACUUCCGGUGGAGCGGUGAAAUGCGUUGAGAUCGGAAGGAACGCCCGUGGCGAAAGCGGGCUCCUGGGCCGACACUGACACUGAGAGACGAAAGCUAGGGGAGCAAAUGGG